rfam:Echinococcus multilocularis genomic scaffold, pathogen_EmW_scaffold_11
GGUUCCGUGGCGCAACGGUGGCGCGUCUGACUCCGGAUCAGAAAAUUGCAUAUUCAAAUCAUGUCGGGCUCA